UACGCCCUACGGGGGAAAGAUUUAUCGCAGAGAGAGGGGCCCGCGUCCGAUUAGGUAGUUGGUGGGGUAAUGGCCUACCAAGCCGACGAUCGGUAGCUGGUCUGAGAGGAUGAUCAGCCACACUGGGACUGAGACACGGCCCAGACUCCUACGGGAGGCAGCAGUGGGGAAUAUUGGACAAUGGGCGCAAGCCUGAUCCAGCAAUGCCGCGUGAAUGAUGAAGGCCUUAGGGUUGUAAAGUUCUUUCGUCGGGGACGAUGAUGACGGUACCCGAAGAAGAAGCCCCGGCUAACUUCGUGCCAGCAGCCGCGGUAAUACGAAGGGGGCUAGCGUUGUUCGGAAUUACUGGGCGUAAAGGGCGCGUAGGCGGCCAUUCAAGUUAGGCGUGAAAGCCCUGGGCUCAACCUAGGAAUUGCGCUUGAUACUGUCUGGCUUGAGUUCGGGAGAGGUGAGUGGAAUUCCCAGUGUAGAGGUGAAAUUCGUAGAUAUUGGGAAGAACACCAGUGGCGAAGGCGGCUC
rnacentral:rRNA from 1 species